rnacentral:rRNA from 1 species
UACGUAGGGACCAAGCGUUGUUCGGAUUUACUGGGCGUAAAGGGCGCGUAGGCGGCGCGGUAAGUCACUUGUGAAAUCUCUGAGCUUAACUCAGAACGGCCAAGUGAUACUGCAGUGCUAGAGUGUGGAAGGGGCAAUCGGAAUUCUUGGUGUAGCGGUGAAAUGCGUAGAUAUCAAGAGGAACACCUGAGGUGAAGACGGGUUGCUGGGCCAACACGUGACGCUGAGGCGCGAAAGCCAGGGGAGGCAAACGGG